GGCACCGUAGCUCAGUUGGGAGAGCGUGCGACUGAAAAUCGCAAGGCCACCGGUUCGACACCGGUCGGUGCCACCA
rnacentral:tRNA from 2 species